GGAUGUGAGGGCGAUCUGGCUGCGACAUCUGUCACCCCAUUGAUCGCCAGGGUUGAUUCGGCUGAUCUGGCUGGCUAGGCGGGUGUCCCCUUCCUCCCUCACCGCUCCAUGUGCGUCCCUCCCGAAGCUGCGUGCUCGGUCGAAGAGGACGGCCUUCCCCGAAUAGAGACGGACCGGUCUCGGUCGAGGGUAUACGAGUAGCUGCGCUCCCCUGCUAGAACCUCCAAACAAGCUCUCAAGAGAAAACUUACUUAUUAAGUAAUAUGGAAAUAGGUUAUACAUUACUUUUUUUUGAUCACCGG
rnacentral:snRNA from 1 species